rnacentral:rRNA from 1 species
UACGGGGGGGGCAAGCGUUGUUCGGAAUUACUGGGCGUAAAGGGCGCGUAGGCGGCCUGCUAAGUCACACGUGAAAUCCCUCGGCUCAACCGGGGAACUGCGUGUGAUACUGGCGGGCUUGAAUUCGGGAGAGGGAUGCAGAAUUCCAGGUGUAGCGGUGAAAUGCGUAGAUAUCUGGAGGAAUACCGGUGGCGAAGGCGGCAUCCUGGACCGAGAUUGACGCUGAUGAGCGAAAGCUAGGGGAGCAAACGGG